UGAGCGAUGUAUCGGAACGUGCCUAGUAGCGGGGGAUAACUACGCGAAAGCGUGGCUAAUACCGCAUACGCCCUACGGGGGAAAGCAGGGGAUCGCAAGACCUUGCACUAUUAGAGCGGCCGAUAUCGGAUUAGCUAGUUGGUGGGGUAAUGGCUCACCAAGGCGACGAUCCGUAGCUGGUUUGAGAGGACGACCAGCCACACUGGGACUGAGACACGGCCCAGACUCCUACGGGAGGCAGCAGUGGGGAAUUUUGGACAAUGGGGGAAACCCUGAUCCAGCCAUCCCGCGUGUGCGAUGAAGGCCUUCGGGUUGUAAAGCACUUUUGGCAGGAAAGAAACGUCAUGGGUUAAUACCCCGUGAAACUGACGGUACCUGCAGAAUAAGCACCGGCUAACUACGUGCCAGCAGCCGC
rnacentral:rRNA from 1 species